UGGCGGCGAUAGCGCGGUGGUCCCACCUGACCCCAUGCCGAACUCAGAAGUGAAACGCCGUAGCGCCGAUGGUAGUGUGGGGCUUCCCCAUGCGAGAGUAGGGAACUGCCAG
rnacentral:rRNA from 1 species